rfam:Rattus norvegicus chromosome 16, whole genome shotgun sequence.
GGGGAUUUAGCUCAGCGGUAGAGCACUUGCCUAGCAAGCGCUAGGCCCUGGGUUCGGUCCCCAGCUCCG